UCUCGUGUAGCUUAGUGGCAGAGCGUCAUGCUUAUGACUUGAAGGUCGCGAGUUCAAGUCUCGCCACGAGAA
rnacentral:tRNA from 1 species